rnacentral:rRNA from 1 species
UUUGGAGGGGGCAGUCUGGUGCCAGCAGCCGACGUAUCAGCUCAUAGCGUAUAUUAAAGUUGUUGCAGUUAAAAAGCUCGUAGUUGAACUUCGGGGUUCACCCAUUGGUCAGGCUUAAUUGUCUGCACUGGUGAGAUGAGUCUCUACCUUCUGAGGAACUUUCAUGUCAUUAAUUUGGUGUGAUUGGAAAUCAGGACUGUUACUUUGAAAAAAUUAGAGUGUUUAAAGCAGGCUAACGUCUGAAUACAUUAGCAUGGAAUAAUGAAAUAGGACGGACUGAUUCUAUUUCGUUGGUUUCUAGGAUCACCGUAAUGAUUAAUAGGGAUAGUUGGGGGCAUUAGUAUUCAAUUGUCAGAGGUGAAAUUCUUGGAUUUAUUGAAGACUAACUACUGCAAAAGCAUUUGCCAAGGAUGGUUUCAUUAAUCAACAACGAAAGUUAGGGGAUCGAAGACGAUCAGAUACCGCCCCAAUCUUAACCAUAAACUAUGCCGACUAGGGAUCGGACGAAGUUAACUAUAAUGACCGUUCCGCACCUUGCUGGAAACCAAAUUGUCUGGCUUCAAA